rnacentral:rRNA from 1 species
GACGAACGCUGGCGGCGUGCUUAACACAUGCAAGUCGAACGGAAAGGCCCUGCUUUUGUGGGGUGCUCGAGUGGCGAACGGGUGAGUAACACGUGAGUAACCUGCCCUUGACUUUGGGAUAACUUCAGGAAACUGGGGCUAAUACGGGAUAGGAGCUCCUGCUGCAGGGUGGGGGUUGGAAAGUUUCGGCGGUUGGGGAUGGACUCGCGGCUUAUCAGCUUGUUGGUGGGGUAGUGGCUUACCAAGGCUUUGACGGGUAGCCGGCCUGAGAGGGUGACCGGCCACAUUGGGACUGAGAUACGGCCCAGACUCCUACGGGAGGCAGCAGUGGGGAAUAUUGCACAAUGGGCGGAAGCCUGAUGCAGCAACGCCGCGUGCGGGAUGACGGCCUUCGGGUUGUAAACCGCUUUCGCCUGUGACGAAGCGUGAGUGACGGUAAUGGGUAAAGAAGCACCGGCUAACUACGUG